UACGUAGGGGGCAAGCGUUGUCCGGAUUUAUUGGGCGUAAAGAGCGUGUAGGCGGCCAGACAGGUCCGUUGUGAAAACUCGAGGCUCAACCUCGAGACGCCGAUGGAAACUGUCUGGCUAGAGUCCGGAAGAGGAGAGUGGAAUUCCUGGUGUAGCGGUGAAAUGCGCAGAUAUCAGGAGGAACACCAAUGGCGAAGGCAGCUCGCUGGGACGUGACUGACGCUGAGACGCGAAAGCGUGGGGGAGCAAACAGG
rnacentral:rRNA from 1 species